UUAGUGCAUGGCUUUCCCAGCAUUCCAGAGAGGCCGAGUCAUAAAAGUGGGCGGGGCAAAGUGACGUCACGGAGGUCGGCGGCGUCGGCCAAGGGGAGACACCGAUCAGCUGACUGCCCCCACGUGUGACCGACAGCCGGGGUUGGCACACUGAGAGGUCCCUUAUCGAUGCCCUGGGUGCCAUAGGAGGGGGACUCGAACCUUGGCCACCACACCACAACCACUCAACCACCUCCACCACCACCGCAGUACUUACCAGCGGACGCGGUGUGGUAGGGGUCGCCGCAUAUCGUAGCCGGCACAAAUUCGUAACCUACAGUGAAGUUGAACCCAGGCGUGGACCAGCUGUAGUGAGCCACGUGAUAAAUGAUGUCCACGGCGCCCUCCUCCGACUCCACGUGAAGCUCCAACGGCUCCUGAAGGGCUCUCUUUGCAGAUGAUGUGAGUGGGCGUGUAAGCCUCCAGAACGCGCGCACACACACACACACACACACACACACACACACACACACACACAGUUCAUGAGAAAAAAAAAAAUUAGAAGUGAAGAAUGAUGACAGUUGAGGAAACAUGGAAACAUGGACUAGCAGGCAGCAGAAAGCCUGUUGGCUCAUUACUAGGCUGCCUGCGUUCAGUGAUUUAAUCAAUCCGUUUGCCAUAGGAGUGGCUUGCAGGGAAGGAUUAAAGCACUUGUGUACCUACUCUUGGGAACGUUCAGUUCACACCCGUUGCAGCAAAGUGGCGAUCAAUGCGUUUCUUGAAGGAGUUGAUGGUUUCUGCGCUAACCACUUCUGCAGGAAGGCUGUUCCAGUGGCGAACAACUCUAUUCGAGAAAUAACUCCUGCCGAUGUCGGUAUUGCAUCGCUUUGCUUGAAUUGUUUUUCCGUUGUUUCUUGUUCUCAGGUUAGUUUGUAGCGUGAAGAGUUUGGAGUGAUCAACGUUGCUGAGCUUGUUCAGGUACUUAAAGACUUGUAUCAUGUCUCCCUGCAGUCGUCUCUUUUCCAACGUGAAGAGGUUGAGUCGCUCGAGUCGUUCUUCAUAGGGUUUCGUCCUCAGUGAUGGUAUCAUCUUCGUGGCGCGGCGCUGUACUCUCUCAAGUAAUUCAAUGUCUUUCCUGUAAUUAGGAGACCAGAAUUGCACGGCGUAUUCCAGGUGGGGCCUUACCAGCGAAUUAUACAAGGAUAACAUAACUCCCGGCGUCUUGUAUUCGAAGUUCCUCGAUAUGAACCCAAGCAUUGUAUUGGCUUUCUUACAGGCGGACUUGCAGUGUUUUGUUUGUUUCAAGUCACUGCUGAUGGUGACCCCGAGGUCUCUUUCCUCUUGCACAACAUGUAGUGGUUCGCCAUCCAUGUGGUAUAUGUGGUUGCUGUUUCUGGAUCCAAUAUGCAUUACUUUACAUUUGGUAGUGUUGAAGGACAUCUGCCAUUUUUCUGACCACCGAGUGAUCUGGUCCAGGCCUCUCUGGAUAAUUUCGCAGUCUGCCGUCGUGAGGGGCUUCCCGCCCACCUUGGUGUCGUCGGCAAAUUUUGAAAGAUUGGAUUUUAAUCCUAGUUCUAGGUCGUUGAUAUAUAUGAUGAAAAGUAUGGCUACUACUACUACUACGACUACUACUACUACUACUACGACUACUACUACUACUACUACGACUACUACU